rnacentral:lncRNA from 1 species
GGCAGAUUUGAAACGGGUAUUACCAAUGACACACGGAAUUGUAAAACUUCCCGGAUCUUUGCAUUUGGGAGGUAGUUUAUGUUGCAAGAUGGCGGAGACAUUCUCACUUACAUGUACCACCUCUUUCUCCCGGACACGUUUCUUUGUUGUGCAAAGCUUCUUUAAACACUUGGCAUACUUCGGGAUUUGCUUUAUGGCAUCAAGGAGGGGAAUGUUGACAUGCAC